rnacentral:rRNA from 1 species
GUACACUCCUACGGGAGGCAGCAGUGGGGAAUUUUGGACAAUGGGCGAAAGCCUGAUCCAGCAAUGCCGCGUGUGUGAAGAAGGCCUUCGGGUUGUAAAGCACUUUUGUCCGGAAAGAAAUCCUUGGCUCUAAUACAGUCGGGGGAUGACGGUACCGGAAGAAUAAGCACCGGCUAACUACGUGCCAGCAGCCGCGGUAAUACGUAGGGUGCGAGCGUUAAUCGGAAUUACUGGGCGUAAAGCGUGCGCAGGCGGUUUGCUAAGACCGAUGUGAAAUCCCCGGGCUCAACCUGGGAACUGCAUUGGUGACUGGCAGGCUAGAGUAUGGCAGAGGGGGGUAGAAUUCCACGUGUAGCAGUGAAAUGCGUAGAGAUGUGGAGGAAUACCGAUGGCGAAGGCAGCCCCCUGGGCCAAUACUGACGCUCAUGCACGAAAGCGUGGGGAGCAAACAGGAUUAGAAACCCGUGUAGUCC